rnacentral:rRNA from 1 species
AUUGAACGCUGGCGGCAGGCCUAACACAUGCAAGUCGAGCGAGCGGCGGACGGGUGUGUAAUGUAUGGGGACUGCCCGAUAGCGGGGGAUAACUACUGGAAACGGUAGCUAAUACCGCAUACUAUCGGAUAACCCAUAUGGGAUUAGCUAGUAGGUGGGGUAAUGGCUCACCUAGGCGACGAACCCUCGCUGGUCUGAGAGGAUGAUCAGCCACACUGGGACUGGGAACCGGCCCAGACUCCUACGGAGGCGGCGGUGGGGAAUAUUGCACAAUGGGCGCAAGCCUGAGGCAGCCAUGCGGCGGGUAUGAAGAAGGCCCUAGGGUUGUAAAGUACGUUCAGUCGGGAGGCGUUACCGACAGAAGAAGCACCGGCUAACUCCGUGCCAGCAGCCGCGGUAAUUC